GACGAACGCUGGCGGCGUGCUUAACACAUGCAAGUCGAACGGAAAGGCCCUGCUUUUGUGGGGUGCUCGAGUGGCGAACGGGUGAGUAACACGUGAGUAACCUGCCCUUGACUUUGGGAUAACUUCAGGAAACUGGGGCUAAUACCGGAUAGGAGCUCCUGCUGCAUGGUGGGGGUUGGAAAGUUUCGGCGGUUGGGGAUGGACUCGCGGCUUAUCAGCUUGUUGGUGGGGUAGUGGCUUACCAAGGCUUUGACGGGUAGCCGGCCUGAGAGGGUGACCGGCCACAUUGGGACUGAGGUACGGCCCAGACUCCUACGGGAGGCAGCAGUGGGGAGUAUUGCACAGUGGGCGGGAGCCUGAUGCGGCGGCGCCGCGUGCGGGAUGACGGCCUUCGGGUUGUGAACCGCUUUCGCCUGUGACGAAGCGUGAGUGACGGUAAUGGAUAAAGAAGCACCGGCUAACUACGUG
rnacentral:rRNA from 1 species